UAAAUCUACAGAAUAGUUCGUUACAAAAGUGUUGUAUAAUGUCAUAAUAGAUGUGUAAAUCAACACUCAUGAUGUUUAAAUACUUAAUACAUGUAUCAUUCAAACAUUUUUCUUUAAUUAGUCAAUAAUAACGGCAAAAGAAGUACUGGAAAGCAGAACAUUUUCAAUGCAGAUAUUUGGUUAUAUGACAGAUAGAGCAGCGCACGCAGGUUAGAUGACACAUGCAAGAACUAUAUCACUACAUAUUUUUUUGUCCCAUACACAUAACCUAAGUACGAGAAAGAAAUUUUUAAACAAAAUACUGAAAUUCAAACAAACGUUUUGUUUGCUUGGUUUGAAGACAUUUUCGAUCCGUGCGUUUAAUAAUUGAUUUAUAUACAUGAAUUGCAUAACCCAUAAAUAAUCGCUGCCUACCAGCCACUAACAUAUAUAAACAAUGAUGCCAAAACCAGUCCAUACAUAGAUUAAGUGUAGAGUACGUGUAUCAGAAAAUGUCACAACUAAUUUCCAUCAUGUUUCUAAGUAUGUAACAAACAGUUUGGUUUAAAAUAAAAACGAUCUCUAUUACAAUGAACUUUAAGGUUUCUCUAUAAAAAUACAAACGGAACUCUGAGAAGGAAACCGGAUUAAGACCUAUAUGGGUUUCGUGUUGGUACCUUAAGAUGGGCCCUUCUAUGGAAUUAUCGUUACCACAAAAGAAGUGAUAAGCAAAUAAAAAAUAUCAGAAAAUCUAGUCACUAAUCAAGACUAGACUAGACAAUUUUGAGAUGGGCUCCUUAAGCUCGUGGGUCCUCUAAUCCGGUUCUGCAGAGAAGACGGUAAAAAAUCAACAGCUCACGGGUUCAGAACCGAACUUCAAAAGCUACACUUUGAUGCGUCACCGACCAAACUAUAGAAGCCGAAAAUUAUAAAUUCGUAUAAAAAUUAAUAAACUUUUAAGUAGCAACAUUUAUAAGUGACCAUGAGAUGAAUGAGUUCAGAAUACACACUCUUGAAUUACGAACCUCAAAUUAUUACGCAAAUCUCUUAAUCCGAAUUCAUUAUUUUCAAAGUAUAUAAUUUCGUGUGGUAAGUACGCUUAGGUA